CUAGUUGGCCCAAAAAGCUAAAUAAACUCAUUGACAUAUAACCCUAAACUCAUACCAGCCCAAACCCUUCCCCAAUCACCCAAUUGUUCCUCCUGCUACUCUCAAUUUAAGCAAGCCCCAGGCGAUUCGUUCAAGUUUUCAGCCGUUGGAAUUCUGAAAUCUGUCUAGUCAAGGCAUGGCUUAGAAGUGAAUUUUGAGAUGUUAUUUUGGUGAGAUUUGUUGCGUUUUUUGUGAAAAUUCAAUUCGAAUUUUUAAUGCCAAGUGAUUUGCUGUGUGAAAUUCAGAAGAUAAACAUUGCCUUCCAGAAAGAGACGGCCAUGUAUGUGCUGUUAUUUCUUAGAUUUAAACAUGAGAAGACAUUUAUUUAUGAUGCGAAGAUUACAUUUCAGUACUUUAGUCUUAGGAUUGCUGUUCUUAGUGAAUUUUUCUUUCCUGUUUUUAAAUAACGCCGAUUUCCCUUGUCACCAUAUUCUGUUAAAUGGUUUUGAACUUUCGUAUUUAUUCUACCGGCCAUGUUAUUUAUAUCAAAUCGGUUGAAUAUGUGCCCACUAGAGCUUCUUAUGGUAUCAAUUGAUUUUCCCUUGAGCUGACGGUUUGGCAAUUUUUCUAAGGCAGAUGAAGAUUACCGAUUUUGGGUUUGCUAUACUGAGAUGCAGACCGAAUGAAAAACACUGGAAAUAGGGACUUACCCCUGGAUUGGCCCCGUGAGUUUCUUCAUCUUUUUUCUUCCUCCUGGUAUGAUUAUUCCUCACUUAUAUAAUAGCCUUGCGUUGAUUACUUUCAGGUUGUUUCUGUUUGAGUUGGGGUUCUGGAGUUAUUUUGGUUGGAGACUUUCAGAUAUGUUAAAUAUUCAAUAUUAUCUUUAGUACUAAGGUUCCAAUUGCCUAGAUUUGGUUUGUGUUUCCUAUUGAUGAUUGUGAAUCUUCUUUAUUUUGUGUGAUCAAGUAGUUAGAUUUAUUUUGAUUUUCCUUUUCUUUCUAUUUCUUGAUGCGGAUACGAAGAGUUUCCAUUUAAAAAUGAUGAAUUAAAGCAAAAUUUGAAGAUUAAGUAUUCUCAUUGGGAAAUCUUAAAGAAUAGUCAACAGCAUAUGUUUAAUUUUCUUAUUGAUUAUUGUGUUGAAGUUUCUGUUGAUGACAAGGAUAUUUUUGUCAUUACAUUUCUUGGUUGUUUUGGAUGGAUAACAGUUACUAGUUCUUAUGUCAAAGUAUCAGUAUUGGUUGAACAUAUGAAAGGACGGUACUGCCUUUAGCUUAUGCUCUGUUAAAAUAUGAAAGGAUGAUACUGCCUUUAUCUUAUGCUCUGUUAAUAUUAUAUGCAUCUUUGUCGAUGACCCUUAUCUCUGCAAAUAGUGAACAAGAAAUUGGGGAAUUGAUAGCACAUGCAAUGGAGAAAGUUGAUAAGGAAAGAAUCAUCACUAUUGUGUCGAUGUCUCUAUCUCACUAACUUGUGUCUAAAUUGAUAUCUUCUUUUGAUGCUAUAUCUUUAAUAAUGUCUGCUGUUAUUGUAUUGAUCCACAAUUCUGUUUCCUGCCAUGCUUAUCAUUCAUAUUUGCAUGUGAAAACUAUGCAUAAGUUACUGAAUUGCGUCACAUUGCACAGUGGCUAAUUGUUACUAUGUGCUUCACGUUAUAUUAUUUCACUUGCUUCUCGGUGCUUAUAACAUAUGACCUGGGUAGUUGCCAAGCCACUUGAAUGUGUUGUGUAUAUAUUGAAGAAUUUUAACCAUGCUGUACAUUUGUGCACUGGAAAGAACUGAACUUUUGGUUCAACAGAUGUUUAUAUUUUGCACAACUAAGCAAGCAGGAAUUGUGGUGCUCUCCCACUUGUUUUAAGGAUGUAAUAUUAUCCACAUCAACCGUAGUAUUGUGAUUAUAUUGUUGACGUUAUAAGAAAAAUAUGACAAGUUCACAGAUUUGGGCUCUGGUGGUUUGACAUCGUCACAGGUAUUCUUUUACAAAUGCACCUAUUUAUGUGCCAAUACUGCUGUUAUCUAAGAUUAGUACUCCUUUUUUGGUUGCUUGAGUUGGUUUGUCAUACUAAGUUGUGUCAUAGAAAUGGACAUUAAUAUUUGUAUGAUGAUUUCUUGGUGAAUAUUGAGCUACCAAUCUGGUCAUAUGAUAAUAUAUAUGUUUUGCACAUGUAAUUUUAUUUCAUGGAGUAUUAUUUUGGAGGAAGUACAUUAUUUCGGGUGAGUUCCCUUUUUCUUUUUAAUUGGAAGGUGCUGAGCUAUUUCUGGAAAGAUGGCCAUAAGUAGAGAAAGAAGAAAGAUGGAAAGGCAGUGAAGGAGGCUCAUGAAAGGCUCAAGGUAUGUGCUGGAUGAUAUUUCUCUGCUUUCAUGGACUUCAAUUUUACCGGUUGAAAUCUGAAAAAUUGUUCGAGCAGUUUGUUAUGGUGUCUUGAAUGGUACUCUUGUUUGUUAGGAUUUUUAUUUUUUAACAUGAUGAAGUUAUUUGGUUGGUUAUAAUUGAAUAAUUGGAGUGAAUGGCAG
rnacentral:lncRNA from 1 species